UUUGAACCCCACACCGAACAUGCCCGGACACAAUUCACCCAAACCCUCAAAACCACGCUACACUACCCAUCCACCGCUGCCCGGCGCAACAUUUGGCACGCGUAUUCACACACUCCACGACAUAAACCCUAAAACGACAAGAUCACUCCGCACACCCUCCCGAAGAUUUGCUCUUAUCGUGCGCGAUAGUCAAGCGACCAUCAAACUACCACCUUGUGCAGACCACGUCCCAAAUACACACACAGUGCCCAGCAACUUCAACAAUCAAAAGCUUCGUCCAACUCAACAAGUCUAACGUCCAGUACGCCACUGACCAUUCCACUCCGACAUCCAACAACAUCUCGCAGGUCUUCCACCGAUGGCGAAGGGGUUGAGCAACCGACAAUGUUCCAGCGACACGCACUUUACCAUCCAUGGUUGUACAAUCCCAUCACCCUUUCACAGCGAAAACCACUCCACAGGUCGUUCGAUACUCUCUACCAACCCACCGAAGCCUUAAUUGUCAUGCUUUGCACGCCAUAACAUGCCCCUCAUAAGGACUCCGAAAACAAAAUCACGCUUCGACACAGACAAAUCGUCAAAAGCACUCAGCUACAUAUACGUUGCAAACAAACUAAUUGAGACUUUCAAAAGUCAAAAUCACAAAAAAAAGAAGAAAAGUCGGGGUUCUCAAGACUCUGAUAAAGCUUCGCUUCUGACACCAAGACCACCAUCUUCUAACCACGCAUGCAUCUGAAGCUACUCUGUCCACUCACACAUGUACCAUAACACACCCACACUCCCCGUUUCCACAAUGUCAUGCCACCACCCCAAUCCCCACCAGCUCUACCAUCGAACUUUCUCACAAUCUACAUUCAGACCACCCACACAACCUCAAUGAUCCAUCCAUUCCACUACCAGUACUUCAAACACACACACACACACACACACACACCUUCCCAACCCCCACUUUCCAUGCUCCACACACACCAUCACGAUCAACUCAUCGACAUCUCCACAAAUGCCACACAAACAUCCCAAAGGUCCUCCAUAACCACACAUCCCCGAACUAACCCAACACAACCCUCUCUACACCACCACCACCACAAGAACUGCACUACCAACACCAACACCAACACAACUUCUCACCAAAUACCCAAAACACACACACACACACACACACACAAACACUCACUAUUCGGGAUUCAUGGUGCCUUUCUUUCGGAUCGGCCUUCUGGGCUAUCUCCCUGCCUUCAACCAAACUUCUGCCACU
rnacentral:lncRNA from 1 species